rnacentral:tRNA from 1 species
AGCGACGUAGCUCAGCCUGGUUAGAGCGGCAGUAUCAUAAACUGUAUGUCGGUGGUUCAAAUCCACCCGUCGCUA